AAGUUGACCUCGGAUCAGGUAGGGAUACCCGCUGAACUUAAGCAUAUCAAUAAGCGGAGGAAAAGAAACCAACAGGGAUUGCCCUAGUAACGGCGAGUGAAGCGGCAACAGCUCAAAUUUGAAAUCUGGCUCUCUUGAGGGUCCGAGUUGUAAUUUGUAGAGGGUGCUUUGGUGUUAGCUGUGGUCUAAGUCCCUUGGAACAGGGCGUCACAGAGGGUGAGAAUCCCGUAUGUGGCCAGCAGCUUCCGCCUUGUAAAGCCCCUUCAACGAGUCGAGUUGUUUGGGAAUGCAGCUCUAAAUGGGAGGUAAAUUUCUUCUAAAGCUAAAUAUUGGCCAGAGACCGAUAGCGCACAAGUAGAGUGAUCGAAAGAUGAAAAGCACUUUGGAAAGAGAGUCAAAAAGCACGUGAAAUUGUUGAAAGGGAAGCGUUUGCAGCCAGACUUGCUCGUAGUUGCUCACCUAGACCUCGUGUCUGGGGCACUCUUCUGCGGGCAGGCCAGCAUCAGUUCAGGCGGUCGGAUAAAGGUUUUGGGAAUGUGGCUCCUCUCGGGGAGUGUUAUAGCCCAAGGCGUCAUGCGGCCAGCUUGGACCGAGGUCCGCGCUUUUGCUAGGAUGCUGGCGUAAUGGCUGUAAGCGGCCCGUCUUGAAACACGGACCAAGGAGUCUAACAUCUAUGCGAGUGUUUGGGUGUCAAGCCCGAGCGCGUAAUGAAAGUGAACGGAGGUGGGAACCCUUUGGGGUGCACCAUCGACCGAUCCUGAUGUCUUCGGAUGGAUUUGAGUAAGAGCAUAGCUGUUGGGACCCGAAAGAUGGUGAACUAUGCCUGAAUAGGGUGAAGCCAGAGGAAACUCUGGUGGAGGCUCGCAGCGGUUCUGACGUGCAAAUCGAUCGUCAAAUUUGGGCAUAGGGGCGAAAGACUAAUCGAACUAUCUAGUAGCUGGUUCCUGCCGAAGUUUCCCUCAGGAUAGCAGUAACGUCUUCAGUUUUUAUG
rnacentral:rRNA from 1 species